GACGAACGCUGGCGGCGUGCCUAAUACAUGCAAGUCGAGCGCAGGAAACUGACGGAACUCUUCGGAGGGAAGGCAGUGGAAUGAGCGGCGGACGGGUGAGUAACACGUAAGGAACCUGCCUCAAGGAUUGGGAUAACUCCGAGAAAUCGGAGCUAAUACCGGAUAGUUCAACGGACCGCAUGGUCCGCUGAUGAAAGGCGCUCCGGCGUCACCUUGAGAUGGCCUUGCGGUGCAUUAGCUAGUUGGUGGGGUAACGGCCCACCAAGGCGACGAUGGAGAGCCGACCUGAGAGGGGGAGCGGCCACACUGGGACUGAGACACGGCCCAGACUCCUACGGGAGGCAGCAGUAGGGAAUCUUCCACAAUGGACGAAAGUCUGAUGGAGCAACGCCGCGUGAGUGAUGAAGGUUUUCGGAUCGUAAAACUCUGUUGUAAGGGAAGAACACGUACGAGAGGGAAUGCUCGUACCUUGACGGUACCUUACGAGAAAGCCACGGCUAACUACGUGCCAGCCGCCGCGGUAA
rnacentral:rRNA from 1 species